CUUUCCCGCAAAAGUUUCAGUUUCAUUUUCUUCGGUCGAAUGUCUGAAUUUGCCUUUAGUUAUUGUUAUGCGAAACCUCUUGUGUAAGAUCGGAAGACCUGAAACUGAAUCGUAGUCUUAAAAAAAUGUCAGCUAAAGCCUUAAAAUUCACUGUGCUAUUUAUGUGCAAUGCAAGUGAUGUGGCUGAAUUUGUAUCUAAUACAAAGGCAUUUUUUAAUGAUUGUUCUUCUGAAAAAUUUACUCAUGUUACAAAGUUGGCUGAUGUCAGAAAGCACGAUAAUGAAUUUGGCUAUAAUAAUGAACUUUAUGAUUUAGAAAUUUCUAUCAUAUGCUCAGAUGUCAAGAGAGACAGUGAUAUUGAAAACUUUAUUUUUGCUAUCAAGAAAAAAUGGUGUAGUGAAGCUAAAAAAAAUGAAUAUUUGAUGUGGUUGAUGUUUGAAAAUCAGAGUGAUAUUUCAACAAACUUUACCAAUUAUUAUGAUAACAUUAAAGCUUCAGAAUUUGCUUUUGGUACAGUUCCUACCAUGAAGAUUUUUGUGCCUCGUUAUCGCUUCCGUGUUGUUCGAACAUCAUGCGUUUUGUGUUCAUUUUCUCACCUUCAGCGACAUUUUGCUGUUUAUAUUUCAAGUUCUCAUAACCCUGCAUGUAAGAAAAAUGGAGAAAUGGGUUACAAAUUAAUAGUUGAAUAUAUCAAUAUCAUUAGGAUCAUAGCAAAUUUUGAUUCUGAGCAAAAUACAGCUGACCUGUACUUUCAUCUGGAAUAUCCUCCUUUAAUGUACAUAAAUCAAGAGCAAAGUCAUGAUGAAGAUUCUGAGUUGCAGCUUCAAAGAAUAUCAAAAGCUAAGCUGAUGGAGUAUACUUCUAAAAAAUUUGAAAGAACUUUUGAAUUUGGUUGUCAGUGUAACUACACAUUUUGUAAGACUAAAGGUAUUGGAAGAACUUUAGUUUUAAAGAUGAGUUUCGAAGAUAAAUUCCAGACACGGUGGAUUAUUGAGCAGUUAUCUGUUCGAUGUUAUAAGAAAACCAAAAUAUAUUUCACCUCUUUAACCACUGAAAAAAUUAAUGAAAAGCUUGAGAAAUUAAGAAGAUAUCCAUGGACACGUAACGCUGUUGUAAAAAAUAUUUCAAGUUUAAUUAAAUUUGAUUGUGAAUAUGCAUGGAAGACAAUACAUACCAAAACUACUGUAGUGUUAAACGAAAUUGCAUUAAAGCAAAAAUAUAAUCAAAAUUAUAUAGAUCAUUUAGCUCAGGAACUUUCAUCAUAUGCAUUCAAAAAUUCAUCAGCUCUUGUAAAAGCCUUGUUUUGUAUAGCUGAUAUGGCAAACAAGGGUUUAAUUUUUACUUUUGAGAAAGCAUUAGCAUUUAAAUUUAAAUAUUUUUGUGAUGUUAAAGAACUGAGAGAGCUCCCCAGAGGAAUGUGCUAUAUUCGUCGAGUUUUAAUUACUCCAUCCAGAACUAUAUUUCUUCAACCAUUUGAACAUUUUGAUAAUCGAGUAAUUAGACAAUUUGGUGUAGAGUAUAUUCUUCGUGUGUCUGUGCAAGAUGAUAAUUAUUCCAAGUUAACUUAUGCUGUUCAUCAUAAUUCACAAAAAGAAAGCAUUAUGGAGGAGGUUGUAAAAAGUAAGUUAAAGAAUGGUCUUGUAAUUGGUUUUCGUCAUUAUGAAAUUCUGGCUUCAUCAUCUAGCCAACUUCGUGAGCAUGGUUUGUGGAUGUAUGCGAAAGACCAAAAUGGUAAUACAGCAGCAUCGAUACGGAAAUGGAUGGGUGAUUUUAGUAGCAUAAAGAACGUUGCUAAAUAUAUGGCAAGAAUGGGUCAGUGUUUUUCAUCUACUGAAGAAGGAGUUCAGAUAACUAUAAAAAAUGAAGAGGAAGUUCAUUUGGAAGACAUUAAAACAUGGAAUGGGAGAUACACUUUUUCUGAUGGGAUUGGUACCAUAUCAACAGCUUUAGCUGAUGAGGUAAGAUUGGCUCUUAUAAAACAUACUGGCGCUACAAAACAUGAAAACAAUUAUAAACCUUCAGCAUUUCAGAUUAGGUAUAAAGGAUGCAAAGGCAUGAUUGCUGAAAUUCCUGAUAUUUGUGGCCGUAGUAUUGGAAUUAGGCCAAGCAUGAUAAAAUUUGAAUGCUAUACUUCAGAUCAGUUGGAAAUUGUCAAAACAAGUGGCCCAAGAAGAUUAUAUUUGAACAAGCACCUUAUCACAAUUCUCGAACAGAUGGGAGUACCUAAAGAAAAUUUCCUAGAUUUGCAAAUAGAUGUAAUGCUUGAUAUGUUGAAUUCACUGAUUGAUGAAAAUGUUGCACUUUCUCAUCUGGCUUACAACAUGGACGUUUUCUUUCCAUUUGGUGCUCUCCUAGACGCUGGCAUUUCGUUUACAGCUGAACCAUUUUUUAGGUCAUUGUUGUUGGCCUUUCUCAAAUCUUAUGCUGGUCUGGAAGUGAAAAAUUUGACUUUUCUACGCCAGAAGUUACAGCUAAUGUUCCUAAGACAAACCAGGCUUUCUUGAGUUCUGAUCUGGACAUUUCAGUUAUUGACUCUGACGUAGAAGGUAGAAAUACAAGCUCUCUUUUGGGGUGUAAAUUUUGUGCAUGAUUUGGCUUUCAUUGAGACGUCUCUGGGUAAGGAGUUACUAAGGAAGAGAAACUUACAUGCAGGUUGAAGCAUGCAGUGUCAAAUGUAUAAGGAAUAUAAAAGAUGCUGUAUAUUAGUAUAAGUUUGAAUAACCAUAAUAAAAAAAUUUCUUGAAAA
rnacentral:misc_RNA from 1 species